UACGUAGGGUGCGAGCGUUAAUCGGAAUUACUGGGCGUAAAGCGUGCGCAGGCGGCUAUUUAAGCUUGCUGUGAAAGCCCCGGGCUUAACCUGGGAACUGCAGUGAGGACUGGAUGGCUGGAGUGUGGCAGAGGGGGGUGGAAUUCCACGUGUAGCAGUGAAAUGCGUAGAGAUGUGGAGGAACACCGAUGGCGAAGGCAGCCCCUGGGCUAACACUGACGCCUCAUGCACGAAAGCGUGGGGAGCGAAACAGGAU
rnacentral:rRNA from 1 species